rnacentral:rRNA from 1 species
GACGAACCGUGCGAACGUUGUUCGGAAUCACUGGGCUUAAAGGGCGCGUAGGCGGGUUCGCAAGUCUGUGGUGAAAUCCUCCAGCUUAACUGGAGAAGUGCCAUGGAUACUGCGAGCCUCGAGGAGGGUAGGGGCAUCUGGAACAGUAGGUGGAGCGGUGAAAUGCGUUGAUAUCUACUGGAACUCCGGUGGCGAAGGCGGCAUCCUGGACCGAUAUUGACGCUGAUGCGCGAAAGCCAGGGGAGCAAACGGG